rnacentral:rRNA from 1 species
GUGGGGAAUUUUGGACAAUGGGCGCAAGCCUGAUCCAGCCAUUCCGCGUGCAGGAUGAAGGCCCUCGGGUUGUAAACUGCUUUUGUACGGAACGAAAAGGCUCUGAUUAAUACCUGGAGCUGAUGACGGUACCGUAAGAAUAAGCACCGGCUAACUACGUGCCAGCAGCCGCGGUAAUACGUAGGGUGCGAGCGUUAAUCGGAAUUACUGGGCGUAAAGCGUGCGCAGGCGGUGAUGUAAGACAGGUGUGAAAUCCCCGGGCUUAACCUGGGAACUGCAUUUGUGACUGCAUCGCUGGAGUGCGGCAGAGGGGGAUGGAAUUCCGCGUGUAGCAGUGAAAUGCGUAGAUAUGCGGAGGAACACCGAUGGCGAAGGCAAUCCCCUGGGCCUGCACUGACGCUCAUGCACGAAAGCGUGGGGAGCAAACAGGAUUAGAUACCCCGGUAGUCC